AAAACGUUUGAGCAAUGUGUGGCCUCGUAGGAUGUCUCUCUCACUGAUACUGCAGAGCUGUAUUCAGGCACUUCCAACCUGUUCUCAUGCUAUGAUCAAUAUUUUCUGCUAUUUUCCGUCUAUCCAGCUAUAUGUGAAAAUAUGGAGCAAGGGGUUAUUGAGCCAAAUUUUAUCAUCUGGCAGGGAAGUAUGCUCAGGGAGCAGCGAGCUGUUGACAAUGCAGAGAGGCCCUGAGAAAGGCCUUAACAGUACAAACCAAGCAUUAGGAAGGGACCGUAAUUUUCCCUGGCUGAGAGAAGAUUCAUUCUAUUUAACUGCCAAUCCAUGUGGUGUGCUUCAAAGGAAAAAUGGAUUAUGGAAAAGUUGGCCACAGAUUAUUGGCACGUAUCUCUAAAAUGGGAAUAUGUCAGAUGAGAAGUUCUUCGGAGAGAUGUGAUGGCUGAUGUCAAAUCCUGCUCACCCAUUUUCCAUGACCUCCUGAGCCAAGUCUUUACUCUUUGAAGAUGUCAUUAAAACCACCUCAAGGUCUCUCUGCCUCAAACUGUGUGAUUUUCAGCAAUUGCUUAAAGGUAAAGCUAAACAAUGACAUAACUUGGUGCUACGAGGCGGUUAAUUAAGCAAUGUGAAGAGCAAUGAAUUAAUGUGCUAUCCAUGUAAGUGUCUUUCUGAUAACUACUUGGUUUGCAAUUAUGCCUGGUUUAAUCUGAUGAUAAUACCUAAGAAGUUGUGGCUUCUUAAAAUGACCUUUGUUUUGGGAAAAACACGGGUGUCUGUGCUUUACUAAGGGUUUUGUUGAUUUAUUUUUGGGUUUGUUUUUUUGGCUUAGGUUUGAAUGAACCACUGACUUAUGCAAAUAGAUACGUUAACAUGGAAGAUAACAUGCUGUCUUUUAUUUAAAAGGAAGAAUGGAGGACCACGCUGAACAUUGGCUGUUCCAAAGUUAACAGUUGAACAAUGCAUUUAACUGCAUUGUCUUGUAUUUUUAGCAACAUUUGGGCUAUUCAGAGUUCUUUGGAUUAUAGAUCACUUUUACAUUACAGAAGGGGAUAAUGCAUCUCUCUAUUACUACUGAUGGAUGUCUCAAAUUAAAUGUAUGUGCUUAACGUCCAUGCUUUGAAGGUUAACGACCUUGUGAUAGAGAAAUGGAGACUGACUUUCGCUGUCCUGUGCUAAAAUUCCCUUUAUCUUUCACCGGUGUGCUUUGCUACGUAUAUUGACUUGUGGAAAGUCCUUUGAUGAAAGGUAGUAACAGGAGGGGUAUUGCGACUUUAUUUCUUGCCGGGUAAAUCCUAGCUGACCCUAUUACCAUCAACUCCUUUCUUUCAAGGAACAAACUUCUAGGGGGUGGGAGGGUGAAUAGUUUCACUCAUAAUGCCAUGUUUUCCACCGAUCAGAAGCAUCUUUGAUUCCCAAAUGUUGUUGGAAAUAAAAUUCUGACUAAAUUUAAUUUCAGUUCACGGUAUUUAGGAGAGACUACUUCAAGCAAUUAAGCAAGCGUUCAUUUUUCCUAGUCUGGUAUGCAGUCAUAGGAACGCAAGGAAUUUGUUGAACCUAAAAUAACGUAUUGAAUGUUCUUCUAGUUAUUUCAGAAGAUAACUUCAUUAAGUCUUGCUUUUCCUCAUUCUUUAAUUUUUGUAUAAGGAUUGACAACAGUGGAGAUAACUCCAGCUGAAGUGCUCCAACAGCAGGAGUCUAGAGGAACGUACAGGAAUAGUCUCAUUUGGAUUUCAGAUGACUGCUCGUGUCUUUAACCAGUGUCAUGCUUUUCCUUCAAACACUGUCUCCAUACUGUCAUCUGUGCCUUUGUAAUUGUACUGUGGAGGUGAUUCUAAAAUGCUAAAUUUUAUGGCAAACCAGUAUGAUGAGCUACAAAUGAUUGAGCUCAAAUUGUGCCAAAAUAGUUACAUCUCUAGCAUUAAGGAAAGCCCUUACAGGCAAACUGUCUGUGUGUUCUGGGUUUCUAAAUACUGGAAAUGAAUUUGUUCCAAAUUUGGGUAGAAUUAGGUCUCAGAAAAGUGGUUUGCUUGAAAAAUGGAAGGAUGGUUUUUGGCUAGGUAGUGGCCUGCUGUUCAGAGCUCCCAUGUGACUCUGAGUUCUCUCCCCUCACUGGAUAAUUGAGCAUUGACUGUGCAUGAAGGGGGACCUUCUGUUAGAAACUGUUGCAACAGACUCAUCCAAAAGAACCUGAAUCUGCCAAAGAAGGAACUUCAACCUUUUGACCUCAUUGAGACCAAAUGAUCCCUGCUGAAAUGAGCCGUUUCUUCGAGAAAGUCUGGGCUGGAUCUGAGAAUUUCCUUUCAGAAUUGAUAAAUACCACAAAUUCUUGAUCAAAUUUACUUGCUAGUCAAAACAUAAUAUUGAUUGAGAAACAGAAAAAAAAAAAAGUGUUGUAUAUUGCUUGCAGUUAGUACUUUUUUAUGAGAUACUGUGAACAAAACAGAUCAAGAUAGUAAUGCAGGUUAUUGCUUUGCCUUGUUUUGCCAGUCAUGCAUUCAGAUAUUACCACAGGCAAAAACAAUUUCAUGGCCCCUGAUAUAUCUGCAUCACAUCCUGUUUGAAAACCAAUAAAAAGAUUGAGUGAUGUUCCUGGGAAGGAACUGUAACGUUGAGAAGUCCUUAGCUCUGUAACCAAAGAUUUUAAUCCUUAUACUGUUGGACAUUUCUUCCCAUCUGUAAAUUGAGAGAAAUGAUUUUCAGAAUUAAAUCAAAUUUUAAGACUGCAAAUUAUAGUAAAGUUGCAAGUUAUAGUAUUUCUACUUAAACAUUUAAUGGGUUGCCAUAGAGAACUCUACUGUGCUUAAAUUAAAAUGGCACUAUCCAAAAGAACUAAGCUAAUAUUUCUUGGCUACAGAAACCAGAUGAAUACAAUCAGUGCACUCAGUGGGAAAUGAAAAGGGAAAAUAUUCUCUUGGUUUGGGUGAUUUCAGGUGUGUUCACUUGCCCUUUUGUGUGAUCUUCCUUUACGUGUAAAAUGUCUUUUAUUUCCUAUAUGCAAGUUUGUUUUGUGAACACUGUUUUCUUUGUUGUCUAUUUUGAACCAUCAUCGUUUCCUGCAGUUUCCAAAAAAUCAGCUGACUUCUAGGUAGUUGAUGCUCUAGACGUUAUUGCCAUAUGACUACAAGUUACUGAUGGAAAUUCAAACACAUCCUCCUGGGUUUUAUUGCAUGGCUCAAAAAGCCUAACUGCAGUUUUGGCCUCUUGUAUAGCGGAUGUGUAGUGUAACAAGAGAAGAAAAACCUAAUCACUGAUAUCUUUAAAACUUCUUCACAGAGUGUGGUGUGCACAGUGCAGGAGUGGAUGUGGUGAAUCCUGCAGGCAAAAAGAACUGUCCUUGUUUGCAGAAAGGACUGUUUUAGUUUGUAACAGUUAUUGUGCUGCUCAUCCAGUUCACUGCAGAUAUUUUUCCCUUACCAAACUAAUAUUUGAGUUCAAAUGUUCACUCUAAUGUCAGGACCUGAUAUAUUUUUACUUCCCCCUUUCUCUUAAUUUUAUUGAUUUUUUUUCUAAGCCAAACAUUCCAUAAAUUAGUUCUAUUAGAAGGCUUAUUGUGGAAUGUGAUAUAAUUGGCAACUGAUUGUUGAUGUAGGAGAUUUAUGUUGGCCUUACAGUAAUAGUUUCUUAUAAUUGAAUACAUAUGUGAUUUCCAGUGUCUAGACUUGGGAACUUUCCCAGGAAGGAGUUCCAGGUGGUUAUCUAACUGUAAUAAGCCAAAUGGCUACCACUCAGUCUGCAGACAUGGGAAAUAUGCAAAUACUACUGGCAAACGUAAUUGUUUCAUAAAUCUGCAUUUAAAUCACAAUAUAUCCAUUUACAUCUAAUGGUUUGACCAGCUUAUUCGUUUUAUAGAUUCAUUUAGAAUCUUUUUUUUUUAAACCUGAAACUUUCUUUCCCUCGAUUACUCCCUAAACUGAAAUAAUAUAAAAUGCAGAGGUGAGAAGUUCUUGAUAUGCCCGGAUGUCAAAAAGCUUUAACUAUGUUACAUGCCUGAGUUAGUUGCAUUAGUAUAUGAAGUAGUAAGUGCUUGAAGUAGCAGUUACAUUGCCAUAUUUUGAACUAAUUCCAUGAAAUCUGAUUAGGUAUAGUUAAGUGACAUGGCAACUUGAGUUUUCAUUUGCUAGCAGACUGAUUUCUGGAAGGAUCUCAGAAAGGAAACGUGUCUGGAAGCUGCACAGCCUACUAAAGCAUGUGGUGAUUUGAUAUUGUCCUGAUCCCAGUUUGCCUCGAACAUGCUUUGCACGCUAAAACAUCCCUGGAGAAGGAAAACACAGUUGGCUAUCCCAGCGUGAAUACUCUGCAAAUAUUGUUCUGGGGCCCGCACAGCCUGUGACUCACAAUGAAUAUUUUCAGCUCUGGUUCUUACAGUACAAUAGGAAAUACAAAGGAAAAUAAGUAAUUUGCUGGGGCCUAACACAGUGUGACUUGAUCAUUGUGCUUCAGAGAACAGAAGAGCUACAUUAGCAGAAGUGAAAAGUCCUUUCAAUUCAGAUUUCAUAUGCCAGAUGGCUGGCUCUUGUUCUUAUGUUUUGGUGGUGGUGGGUUUUUUGUUGUUGUUGUUAUUUUUGUUGUUGUUGUUUUUCCUUUUAUCCUACCUGUUAAGAUAGCAAAGAAUGACAUACGUUAUCUGGCUCUGCAGCCAAGUGUGUGGUCCAAAUUAUUUUCACAGAAUGCCUGGAAAAAUCUGCUUGCUUGCCUGCCUGCCUCAAUCAUUUUUCUCAACUAAUUAGAAAAGUCUGCCAAACAUUUUUGGGCUAAGGCACUAAUUAUUCUCAAACAAAUGUUUCAAUUUUGCACAAGUUAGGAAGUGUCUCUGUAUUAAAUGACUGCAUGCCAAGAUGCCAGAGUAGUCAGUCUGCUUUUGUUUAUCAGUAUGUCUGGAAGUCCUGUAGGACCAAGGAAAAAAACUUAAAAGCACCAUUUUCAAGCAGAGAUCUGUAGUGUUUGGUGAUGUUAAAGGAAAUAAUACUGCAAUACUUACUUUGUACGUGUUAGCUUUUAAUGAGAAAUAGGUCUAUUUUCCUUCUGGAAAUGCUGUUUCUUGUGAUGUUUGUAAUUGCAUUGGUCCUCAGAUUCUGUUGUUUCUGGCAGAGAAUAAAAGGAAAUCUUGUAGUUUUUCGUGCCAGACUGGCCUAUCUAACCCUGUCUCAGCUUUUAUGGCCCAGUCUUCAACACCCUAUUUCAGCAUUAAAGAAGAUGGUCCCUCGUGGCAAGGGCAUUGGAGAGUCAUUCUUUGUAAAAGUUCAAGUUGAAUUUGGCAAUCUGAAGAAAUUUGAAUGGUUUAAUGAGGCCUAUAGCUUGUUUUCCAAGUAAUGGUCUGGACCUGGAUUCUGUGUUUCCCUUCUCGGAAGUGGUGGUGAUCUUCUGGAACAGUCUCAUCCUACCUCAGCCUUCUCUUGAGGGGCAGAGGAACACGAUGGAGGAUCUGAAUUUGUUCAAGGUGGUAGCUGUUAUCCAAGACCAGCAGAGACCUGGUGGCAGCAAGAAUGUCAAGAUACCUAUAGCCAUGUAGAGGUAGCUGCCCAUAGAUGACUUGGAUCUUCAUUUUUUUGUGUGAAAUUGAAAUUUAUGGAUGUCCUCAGAGCAUGGGUGAAAUCCAUUAAAACUGGCAGAAGAGUUGGUUCCAUAUCCACAGAGUCAACAGAGCCAAACAGAAAUAUGAAGCUGAGAAAAAAGGAGGGAAUGUAUGCAGCUGCAUGGCAUAGAGUCCAGCUCAGAACCUGCCUACCCAUCAGGCACAGUUAUGUUAAUUCUAGAAGAAAGUCUGAAGUUCUCUCACCCAGAUCAACAGCAUUUUUAGAAGUAAACCAAGAUGUCUGAUGAGAUGCAGUCAAUCUGUUGUGAGCAAUGAGUAAACAAAUCUCUCUGAUGGAGAGGAGGGAAGCCCUGCUACAGAAACUGCCAGCUGGUUGUUUGGUCUUUGCUGACCUCUGCUCGGCUCUGAAAAGAUUUGCCUUUAAAAGACCUCCCAGCAGUCCACUAAAUGCAGUUUGCUACUUGAAGUUUUAUAGCUGUGCUGCUUGAGAUGGACUGUUCUUUUACAUAUAGUACUGAGCUGUGAUGCAAAUUUUCCCUAUAAAGGGGCUUCUUUCUAGAUGAAAGAGUUGAUGAAGCUUCAAAAGUGGUUCCAUACUCUAGGAGAUGUGUGAUAGUACUGUCCUGGUUUGAGCAACCUGAACUGCAGAUGUCACUCUUCGUGGGAACUCAACCCUUUUGUUGCCUGCAGCAUCGGACUGCACAAACUACACAAUUCUUUACCCCAUGGAAGUGUCAGGAGGAAAUGUGGGCUGUGAUGAUCAAAAACAAAAGACUCUUUGGGAUCUUCGACCUUGUGCAAUUAAAGGUCUCCCUUCAAUACCUACUUCAUCAUUUAAUGUCUGUGGUGCCAAUAAUGUGCUGGUGCUUUGGUAUGGUAUCAACUCCAAGGGAAGAGUGCCACCUACUGAACUACCAGUUCUCUAUUUUGUGACAUAUAUAUCUGCCAGUUUUUCACCCAAAAUACUGACCAAAUCCUGUCUUGUGUAAGACAUGCAAUAUCAAGGCCUUGACAUGGCAUAUCCAAAUGUGUGAUGUUCCCAGUGUGGAUGAGAUCACUGUGCUGUGGCACUUGGAAACAUAAUCCUUUCCUCCUUUGUGGAUGUUUGAACGUGGAUUUUAACACGAUAAUUAUAAAAGACUGCAAUAAAAAUGAAGUUAGUAACAACCCACAUAAUGUUACUGUUAUCUGACCCUGAUUUGAACUCUCCACUGCUAUAAAAGCUAAAAUAUACUGCUAAUGAUUUCUUUGAAAAUAUGCUAAUAAUUAAUGCAUUAUUUCAGUCUUAGUCUCAUAAAAAUUAGAAAUGUCUUUAAAAAGAAUUAAAACAAUAAAGCUUUUUGUGCUUCCUCCUAGAUACUAAAAUGCAUUUUUUCAAAGUCUCUCAUGCAAAGAAAUUCAAUUAUCCUUCUAUAAACAUGGGUGGAAUAAUGUAUAUAUUUUUCCCAUAAAUUCUUUAUUCCAGCAUGACUUCAAUUGCAGAUCUUUCUAUGAUUUUCCCUACUAAAUCUUUCUUUUGGCAAAGCAAAGGGGAAAAAUCCAUCUUUGGAAAUGAACAUGCACGUGUCCAAAGAAAAAUGGGA
ensembl:lncRNA